AAUAAUUUACCUUAUCCUUGGA
rnacentral:miRNA from 1 species